AUUGACUAUUAGCUUGUAUAUAUGCCGUAAUAUGGACGGCAAGUUUCUAGCCGCUAACCGUAAAUCUGCGGGCUACAAGCAAACAAUUA
rnacentral:ncRNA from 1 species